rnacentral:SRP_RNA from 1 species
UCGUGCUAGGCGGGGAGUUAGCGGCGCCCUAUACUCGAAAUCCGCUAUAGCGAGGCUGAAUUCCUCCCUGAGGUCCUGUACCGGCGACCUCUGUUGGGCGGUUCUUGAUGUUGAUAGCUGGGCCCUGCGCGGCGAAGAACUGUGAACUCCGUCAGGUUCGGAAGAAAGCAGCGGUAAGCGGUAAUCUUCGGGUGACGCGGGACUACCUGGCUUGAGUCGAGGCCGUUCGAUACGCCGACGGAAGGGAACGAAGGGAUGGUGCACGA